rnacentral:rRNA from 1 species
GUGUGAACAGUGGUUGAUCACGAGUUAGUCGGUCCUAAGUUCAAGGCGAAAGCCGAAAAAUGUUAAAGUUUUUAUAACAUAAAAUAAAUUAUGGAUUAUAAUUUGAACUUGACAUUAAUUGAACGAAAGGGAAUACGGUUCCAAUUCCGUAACCUGUUGAGUAUACGUUUGUUAUUAUAAAUGGGCUUUAAUGCUCAUCCUGGCAACAGAAACCACCAUAAAGAAGCCGUCGAGAGAUAUCGAAAGAGUUUUCUUUUCUGUUUUAUAGUCGUACUACCAUGGAAGUCUUUCGAAGAGAGAUAUGGUAGAUGGACUAGAAGAGCAUGGCAUUUACUGCUGUUCGAUAUUUUCUCCUCGGACCUUGAAAAUUUAUGGUAGGGCUACGCAAAUUUCUCAAAGGCCGUACCGAUAUCCGCAGCUGGUCUCCAAGGUGAAGAGUCUCUAGUCGAUAGAAAAUGUAGGUAAGGGAAGUCGGCAAAUUAGAUCCGUAACUUCGGGAUAAGGA